rnacentral:lncRNA from 1 species
UGAUUGAUAGCAUUUUUAGUGUGCAUGCCUAACCACUGAAAUGCUAGGAAGAAGAGACAAACCCAACGUAAGAGCAAAUAACAAAGAAUGAAGCAAUGUUUGGGUUUUUUUGAAGCUUUUAUAAAUGAGGUUAAACAAAUGCCAAAUUACGGUGUGUUAGUACAAGUCUGUAGCAUCUGUGUACAGCAACAUCCAUCCAAAGGCAGAAUCACAGCCUCGUAUCGGCCUCGAGUCUUGAGUCACAUUCAUAUCUUAAAAUACACGAGUAUUCCUUUUCCGUCUAGUCUCAGUUAUAGGCAGCUACUUCCCAGACUCUACUUUCACUUCUCUCUACUUUUUCAGACCUGGUUCCCAUGGCACUAGUGUAGAAGGUUUUAGGGUAUAAGAAGAGGGGGCAAUAAGGCUACCCUAUCACUAUGACAACCAAGAAGGAGGCUGGAGCGUGAAUCCCCAACGCUGAGGGUGGGGAGCCAUCCCUCUCUACCAAGGUGGCAAUGAUGGAGGGAACUUGCAUGCUAAGCAUCCAGGAUGCCAUGCAGCAGACACCAGGGAGCACUGAGCCACUGCUGGAGCAUUUCCUGCCUCUGCCAGGCGGCCUGCGGCAAAGUGUUUCACAUAACUAAAAAAAGUCAACACAGUCUCAUGUAUGCAAUUAAAAAAAAGCUGUCAAAGUAUAAAAAACCCAAGACACUGGAAGCUGAAAGACAAGGUGAGUAGUGAGAGCCAUUCUCCAGGCACACAGUGGAGUGCUCCUUCUCAGCAGCUCCUUGCUUUACAGCACUUCAGUCCUGAGUCCAGCACGGCAGGGCAUGUGAGGCUGAGAACACCUGCUCUUGAAGAACACAGGCUUCUGAGUGAUGUUGCUAAUGUCCCCCCACAAAUGGGAGCAGUGUCUCCGGCGGAUGAAAAAUUUAAAGUCAAAAUUAGAAAACUGCUUUUGAUUCAGGCGUUUCACUUUCCUCCCCGCCAGGCCUUUCACCUGGCUGCUCCACCUGACGUUCUUUAAAAGGCUGGACUGGCCGCCACUCCAUCAUGGUUUGUUUUGAAAUGCGACAGAGCCUGUGGCGUCUGGGUGCUUUCUCUGUGGCAAAGAGGAACAGUGGGAUCCAUUUUCUUUUAAAAAUGUUAUUGUACUUGACAGACUUGAUUUCGCAAUUGCCUUUGGCCUUAGAC